ACUGUGGAGUAUCAAAAAAUGUCGGUAGCUAAGGCAAAGACAGAUACGUUGAAGCAGUAA
rnacentral:ncRNA from 1 species